rnacentral:rRNA from 1 species
GGAUUAGAUUCGUAGUGACCUGCGGAGGAUCAUUAUCGAGUUUUGACCGGGUUGUAGCUGGCCUUCCGAGGCAUGUGCACGCCCUGCUCAUCCACUCUACACCUGUGCACUUACUGUGGGCUUCAGAUUGCGAGGCACGCUCUUUACCGGGCUUGCGGAGCAUAUCUGUGCCUGCGUUUAUCACAAACUCUAUAAAGUAACAGAAUGUGUAUUGCGAUGUAACACAUCUAUAUACAACUUUCAGCAACGGAUCUCUUGGCUCUCGCAUCGAUGAAGAACGCAGCGAAAUGCGAUAAGUAAUGUGAAUUGCAGAAUUCAGUGAAUCAUCGAAUCUUUGAACGCACCUUGCGCUCCUUGGUAUUCCGAGGAGCAUGCCUGUUUGAGUGUCAUGAAAUCUUCAACCUACAAGCUUUUGUGGUUUGUAGGCUUGGACUUGGAGGCUUGUCGGCCGUUAUCGGUCGGCUCCUCUUAAAUGCAUUAGCUUGGUUCCUUGUGGAUCGGCUCUCGGUGUGAUAAUGUCUACGCCGCGACCGUGAAGCGUUUGGCGAGCUUCUAACCGUCUUAUAAGACAGCUUUAUGACCUCUGACCUCAAAUCAGGUAGGACUACCCGCUGAACUUAAGCAUAUCAAUAAGCGGAGGAAAAGAAACUAACAAGGAUUCCCCUAGUAACUGCGAGUGAAGCGGGAAAAGCUCAAAUUUAAAAUCUGGCGGUCUUUGGCCGUCCGAGUUGUAGUCUGGAGAAGUGCUUUCCGCGCUGGACGUCAAAUUUUCUCUCUCGUAGAAGA